rnacentral:rRNA from 1 species
ACGUAGUUAGCCGGGGCUUCUUGGUCAGGUACCGUCAUUUUCUUCCCUGCUGAUAGAGCUUUACAUACCGAAAUACUUCUUCACUCACGCGGCGUCGCUGCAUCAGGGUUUCCCCCAUUGUGCAAUAUUCCCCACUGCUGCCUCCCGUAGGAGUUUGGGCCGUGUCUCAGUCCCAAUGUGGCCGUUCACCCUCUCAGGCCGGCUACUGAUCGUCGCUUUGGUAGGCCGUUACCCUGCCAACUGGCUAAUCAGACGCGGGUCCAUCUCACACCGAUAAAUCUUUUCCGUCAGUAUCAUGCGAUACCAGCGGGUUAUGCGGUAUUAGCGGUCGUUUCCAACUGUUAUCCCCCUGUGUGAGGCAGGUUACCCACGCGUUACUCACCCGUCCGCCACUCAGUCACAAAAGACUUCAUCCGAAGAAUCGUUCUUAAGCGCUUCGUUCGACUUGCAUGUGUUAAGCACGCCGCCAGCGUUCAUCCUGAGCCAGGAUCAAACUCU